rnacentral:rRNA from 1 species
GAUGAACGCUAGCGGCAGGCUUAAUACAUGCAAGUCGAGGGGCAGCAUGACUGUAGCAAUACAGUUGAUGGCGACCGGCAAACGGGUGCGGAACACGUACAGAACCUUCCUUCGAGCGGGGAAUAGCCCAGAGAAAUUUGGAUUAAUACCCCAUAGUAUUACGGAGUGGCAUCACUUUGUAAUUAAAGAUUCAUCACUUGAAGAUGGCUGUGCGGCUGAUUAGGUAGUUGGCGGGGUAACGGCCCACCCAGCCUGCGAUCAGUAACUGGUGUGAGAGCACGACCAGUCACACGGGCACUGAGACACGGGCCCGACUCCUACGGGAGGCAGCAGUAGGGAAUAUUGGUCAAUGGACGAAAGUCUGAACCAGCCAUGCCGCGUGGAGGAUGAAGGUCCUCUGGAUUGUAAACUUCUUUUAUAUGGGACGAAAAAGGGUCUUUCUAGAUCAACUGACGGUACCAUAUGAAUAAGCACCGGCUAACUCCGUGCCAGCAGCCGCGGUAACAC